CUGUGGACUCCCUGACUUUGGGUCCUCCCUCAGGGUGCUACAGGCAAAGCCGGGGAGCCGGGGAGAGAUGUAAGUAUGGGGAACGUUAUGGUGGA
rnacentral:pre_miRNA from 12 species